rnacentral:rRNA from 1 species
CUACGGGUCGCUGCAGUGGGGAAUUUUGGACAAUGGGCGCAAGCCUGAUCCAGCCAUUCCGCGUGAGUGAAGGAGGCCUUCGGGUUGUAAAGCUCUUUCGCAAGGGAAGAACACUUAGCUACUAACAUUAGCUGAGGUUGACGGUACCUUGAUAAGAAGCACCGGCUAACUACGUGCCAGCAGCCGCGGUAAUACGUAGGGUGCGAGCGUUAAUCGGAAUUACUGGGCGUAAAGCGUGCGCAGGCUGUUUUGUAAGUCAGAUGUGAAAUCCCCGAGCUCAACUUGGGAACUGCGUUUGAAACUACAAGACUAGAAUAUGUCAGAGGGGGGUAGAAUUCCACGUGUAGCAGUGAAAUGCGUAGAGAUGUGGAGGAAUACCAAUGGCGAAGGCAGCCCCCUGGGAUAAUAUUGACGCUCAUGCACGAAAGCGUGGGGAGCAAACAGGAUUAGAUACCCUAGUAGUC